GGAGAGAUGGCAGAGUGGUCGAAUGCGGCGGUCUUGAAAACCGUUGACCGCGUGAGUGGUCCGGGGGUUCGAAUCCCUCUCUCUCCGCCA
rnacentral:tRNA from 1 species